rnacentral:rRNA from 1 species
UGGUUUGUCGCGUCGUUUGUGGAAUACCGCAGCUUAACUGCGGGGUUGCAGGCGAUACGGGCAUAACUUGAGUGCUGUAGGGGAGACUGGAAUUCCUGGUGUAGCGGUGGAAUGCGCAGAUAUCAGGAGGAACACCGAUGGCGAAGGCAGGUCUCUGGGCAGUAACUGACGCUGAGGAGCGAAAGCAUGGGGAGCGAACAGGAUUAGAUACCCUGGUAGUCCAUGCCGUAAACGGUGGGCGCUAGGUGUGAGUCCCUUCCACGGGGUUCGUGCCGUAGCUAACGCAUUAAGCGCCCCGCCUGGGGAGUACGGCCGCAAGGCUAAAACUCAAAGGAAUUGACGGGGGCCCGCACAAGCGGCGGAGCAUGUGGAUUAAUUCGAUGCAACGCGAAGAACCUUACCUGGGCUUGACAUACACUGGAUCGGGCUAGAGAUAGUCUUUCCCUUUGUGGCUGGUGUACAGGUGGUGCAUGGUUGUCGUCAGCUCGUGUCGUGAGAUGUUGGGUUAAGUCCCGCAACGAGCGCAACCCUUGUCUUAUGUUGCCAGCAUUUGGUUGGGGACUCAUGAGAGACUGCCGGGGUGAACUCGGAGGAAGGUGGGGAUGACGUCAAAUCAUCAUGCCCCUUAUGUCCAGGGCUUCACACAUGCUACAAUGGUCGGUACAACGCGUGUGCGAUCCUGUGAGGGUGUGCUAAUCGCUGAAAGCCGGUCGUAGUUCGGAUUGGGGUCUGCAACUCGACCCCAUGAAGUCGGAGUCGCUAGUAAUCGCAGAUCAGC